AGUAGCCUCUGUCCAAGGAGGAUGCUAACCCCAGCAGAGACUGACUAUCUGACAGUACCCACUCUGGGUCUGCCAGGCCCCAUGGGCUCCUGGGACUGCAGGGUCUCAGCCUGGGAUUGUGAUGGGCUGGAGGAAGG
ensembl:lincRNA Gm13834 predicted gene 13834